rnacentral:piRNA from 1 species
UGCUAUGGGGUAUUCUGGACUCUGUGGGUC